GUAUAUUCGUGAAUUUAACAUUGUUCCCUACAAAUUUCGACAUUUUCGUCGUUCGAAAAUGGUAGGAAUUCCUUUUGGAUAGCAAACGAGUUCGAGGGAGGAAACCGUUUUCGUUCGCCGUGCUCGUCCCUCGAUUAUCGCCAGCCGAAGGAGCAGGGAGGCGCUCGUCGAAGGAUGAAAUGAUGGCCGUACUGCGGAGUCAUCGGUUUUAAUUGCAAUUUAAAUAUUGAAUUAUGAUACCGUGUACCGAGAGACUCUCGCGGCGCUUCGGUUGCUUUUAAACCGUGGUGCUUGCAAAUUGUUGAUGGAUCCCGCGAGCCGCGAUGUUAUUAAUUACUCGUUGUUCGAUGACUGUUAGCCUGUUGGUGAAAGUCGUGACGUCCCGUCAGCCAGAGGUAAAUUAAUAAAGUGACGCCGCGAUUAAUAUGGUAAUACGGAAGGUGGACGCGAGUCGCGCUACAAGUCAUUUUAUUCACCUAUAAGAGACGAAUCAAAUCGAAUGAGUAUACGUUUACGUCGACUAUCGCGUUAUGGAAACGUAGGUGUCGAGAUUUUUUUUAAUCAAGAAUUCCUGUGCUUGGAAUAGAAGAGUUCUAUCGCAACAAUUUUCAAUUAUUUAUGAUCGCAUUUAAACAUUUCUUGGAACAAGCUGUUCCAAAGUGUCCAUACAACAGUACAAACAGAAUUUUUAUAAUAAGACUAGCAGAUAUUUCUGCUGGGCAUAAAACGAAUACAUAAACCAAUUGCCUGUAACAGUGUACCGUUGCGAAGUGCUAUCUCUUCCAAUCCAAAUCGUCCUCGAUUCCGAAUGAAUCACAAGACUCUUGCCGAGUUUGUACACACUGCGCGCAUCUCAUUCGAUCGUCAUGAAUAUUCACAGCCGGUUUCUACGUACGAGUCAAUAAGCAUCAAAACGGCCGCGAACGUCUCAUAAAUUCAUCGAGUGAAAUCAUAAGGAGUGUUUGCGAUUCUACUUCCUGUCGACUCUAAUACCAUCCACGCAAUCUUCUACGAAAGAAACACAGCGUCGCGUACACGCUGUUCGUCUUCGUGGGUGAGGUCACCCACUCCUCGAAGGAACCGUGCUGGAAGGAUCAUGAUCAGGAUUGUUUAGAAGCGAUUGGGCUGAUUCAUCGCUUGAUUUUUCGAUGACGGUACCUAGGUUCAUUGGACUUCUUCGGUAGCGAAGUUCCAGUUUGUGGAUUCCGAAGAAGUCUUCUCUUCAUUUUGUCUUCAAUUUGCCUCGUCGAGGAAGGCCUCGUCGACUUUGGGAACCUUCAUUCCUGCUACAAUAUGCGGCAGCCGUCACCAGGAAACCAUAAGGACGUGCUACAUCGUGGAAUCGUUGUCAAGAGAACCACUUCGAACGCUCGCUUCUUUUGAUCGCUUCCCGCGCGCGCGAGCGCUCACGCAACGUUGGUUCCUCUCCGAGUUGUCCACGAUGGUUAAGCAGGAAUGUUUUAAUUGCCGUCGAUGCAUCGCGGUAGCUGGCUGGGUAAAAGCUGAGGGAGGAAGAAUGCCUUGGACCAGUGACUCUUAACCAUCCUGCUCUGCGACGCGACGCCCUAGAUACUGCUUUAACGACCUGGGGAAUAUUCAUCUUUUACUAAAAUUCAUGGUUAAGAGCUGUACCCGAUUUAUGCGUUGCAAGGCCCAAGUUUUUGGGUUCAUAUCGAGCUAUUAUAACUAUUCCAUUCACAUAACUUGGGAUGCUGUAAAAGAUCUCCUGAUGCACGCUACGAAAAGAGAACGCCACAGCUGACUGGUUAAUGCAUGAACCAUCCAUUAAAAAUUAUUCCUAAUUCAACAAAUGGAACGUACUGGUCACAAAGACUCACAGUCAUAGAAUUGCAAGGCCAUUUCAAGGUCAGGUAGAUCCACCAAGAGAGCCAAUUUGUAUUCCUGCUCAACCCAGAUACAACCGACGCACACCUUUCGACCGCAAUAACGAAUGUCUUGUGAAAAUGUCCACGUGCGAAAUUUAAUUUUUAAGACGAGUGGGGGAAAUACAAAUUCCUCGGAGAACCGCGCAGGUAAUGCAAUAUCCGUUACGCGGUACGUGUUCGCCAGCGGCCGAUUUCCCGGCUGCGGUCAGCCUGAUUUUUCCACGCUCGGAAAAUCGUGUCACGUUCUCCCGACGAUACUUUUUUGGCUAGAACAUUCAAAUUUCACGGAGUGGCCAGAAAUAGCGGGAUUACGACGGCCGAGCGAUAGCGCGGAUUAACAUUCACCCCGACGAUCGUGCGAGGUAUUUCGAUAAUUCGACGGAGACGUGUCGUCGAUCGUGAUCGGCGAGCGAAUUCGCGAAACGAGGUGAGCAGUGUGUCGAACCGAUGUCCCACGGAACAUCGAUGUCACAGGACCUCUCCUCUUCCUCUCUCUCUACCGUGAUCACAUAACGUAGGCCCCUCGCACAUACUUAAUGAAAGGAAUCUCUGAGAAUGAACGACCGCUCUCGGUCGAUUAUUCUCCGCGAAUACUCGGAUCGAAGUUCUGUCACGAACCGUCGAUUUCCUUCAUUUCGCGUGCUCCGAACCUCGCCACUUAUGCCGGUAAUCGAAAAAACCUUCCUGCUUUCAACAGGACAUUCGCAAGAACACAGACAAGGAUCCAGGCGUCAAUAUCCAUGUAUAAUACUACUAAAAUUUAUUCAAAUUACUCAAUGUACCAUAAUGAAUGUUUGUACAAAAUGCGAAAACAUCAUGUUAUGUAUUCAAAUCAUAUUUAGCUUAUCAAUAAACGAU